UACGUAGGGUGCGAGCGUGAAUCGGAAUUACUGGGCGUAAAGCGUGCGUAGACGGUUAUUUAAGUCGGGUGUGAAAGCCCCGGGCUCAACCUGGGAAUUGCAUUCGAGACUGAAUAGCUAGGGUACGGUAGAGGGAAGCGGAAUUUCCGGUGUAGCGGUGAAAUGCGUAGAUAUCGGAAGGAACAUCAGUGGCGAAAGCGGCUUCCUGGACCAGUACCGACGUUCAGGCACGAAAGCAUGGGGAGCAAAAGGG
rnacentral:rRNA from 1 species